GACGUAGGGUGCAAGCGUUGUCCGGAUUUAUUGGGCGUAAAGAGUUCGUAGGCGGUUUGUUAAGUCUGGUGUUAAAGACUGGGGCUCAACCCCAGCAUGGCAUUGGAUACUGGCAAGCUAGAGUGUGGUAGAGGUCUCGGGAAUUCCAGGUGUAGCGGUGAAAUGCGUAGAUAUCUGGAGGAACACCGGCGGCGAAAGCGCGAGACUGGGCCAUAACUGACGCUGAGGAACGAAAGCCAGGGGAGCGAAAGGG
rnacentral:rRNA from 2 species